rnacentral:rRNA from 1 species
GACGUAGGGCGCGAGCGUUGUCCGGAUUUAUUGGGCGUAAAGAGCUCGUAGGCGGCUUGUCGCGUCGUUCGUGAAACCUGCAGCUCAACUGCAGGCUUGCGGUCGAUACGGGCAGGCUAGAGUUCGGUGAGGGGAGACUGGAAUUCCUGGUGUAGCGGUGAAAUGCGCAGAUAUCAGGAGGAACACCGGUGGCGAAGGCGGAUCUCUGGGCCGUAACUGACGCUGAGGAGCGAAAGCAUGGGGAGCGAACAGG